rnacentral:rRNA from 1 species
GACGAACGCUGGCGGCGUGCUUAACACAUGCAAGUCGAACGGAAAGGCCCUGCUUUUGUGGGGUGCUCGAGUGGCGAACGGGUGAGUAACAAGUGAGUAACCUGCCCUUGACUUUGGGAUAACUUCAGGAAACUGGGGCUAAUACCGGAUAGGAGCUCCUGCUGCAUGGUGGGGGUUGGAAAGUUUCGGCGGUUGGGGAUGGACUCGCGGCUUAUCAGCCUGUUGGUGGGGUAGUGGCUUACCAAGGCUUUGACGGGUAGCCGGCCUGAGAGGGCGACCGGCCUCAUUGGGACUGAGAUACGGCCCAGACUCCUACGGGAGGCAGCAGUGGGGAUUAUUGCACAAUGGGCGGAAGCCUGAUGCAGCAACGCCGCGUGCGGGAUGACGGCCUUCGGGUUGUAAACCGCUUUCGCCUGUGACGAAGCGUGAGUGACGGUAAUGGGUAAAGAAGCACCGGCUAACUACGUG